CCUACGGGUGGCUGCAGUAACGAAUCUUCCGCAAUGCGCGAAAGCGUGACGGGGCAAUGCCGCGUGUGGGAUGAAGCCCUUCGGGGUGUAAACCACUGUCAGGGUCCGCCAACAACAUGAGGAGACCCAAAGGAAGAGCCGGCUAACUCUGUGCCAGCAGCCGCGGUAAUACAGAGGGCUCGAGCGUUAAUCGGAAUCACUGGGCUUAAAGCGUGCGUAGGCGGACUUGAAGGCACCUUGUGAAAUCCCUCAGCUCAACUGAGGAACUGCUUGGUGAACCACGAGUCUUGAGGUCGGUAGAGGCGGUCGGAACGAUAGGUGGAGCGGUGAAAUGCGUAGAUAUCUAUCGGAACGCCAAUGGUGCAGACAGGCCGCUGGGCCGCACCUGACGCUGAGGCACGAAAGCGUGGGGAUCAAACGGGAUUAGAUACCCUUGUAGUC
rnacentral:rRNA from 1 species